CCUACGGGUGGCAGCAGUGGGGAAUCUUGCGCAAUGCGGGAAACCGUGACGCAGCGACGCCGCGUGGGGGAAGAAGGCCUUCGGGUUGUAAACCUCUUUCAGGGGGGACGCGGUACCUCCAGAAGAAGCCCCGGCUAACUACGUGCCAGCAGCCGCGGUAAUACGUAGGGGGCAAGCGUUGUCCGGAUUUAUUGGGCGUAAAGAGCGUGUAGGCGGCUUGGUAGUCCGCUGUGAAAACUCGAGGCUCAACCUCGAGAUGUCGGCGGAAACCACUUGGCUAGAGUCCGGAAGAGGAGAGUGGAAUUCCCGGUGUAGCGGUGAAAUGCGCAGAUAUCGGGAAGAACACCUAUGGCGAAGGCAGCUCUCUGGGACGGACUGACGCUGAGACGCGAAAGCGUGGGGAGCGAACAGGAUUAGAUACCCCGGUAGUC
rnacentral:rRNA from 1 species